rnacentral:rRNA from 1 species
GUGGGGAAUAUUGGACAAUGGGCGAAAGCCUGAUCCAGCCAUGCCGCGUGUGUGAAGAAGGUCUUCGGAUUGUAAAGCACUUUAAGGUGGGAGGAAGGGCAUUAACCUAAUACGUUAGUGUUUUGACGUUACCGACAGAAUAAGCACCGGCUAACUUCGUGCCAGCAGCCGCGGUAAUACGAAGGGUGCAAGCGUUAAUCGGAAUUACUGGGCGUAAAGCGCGCGUAGGUGGUUCGUUAAGUUGGAUGUGAAAGCCCCGGGCUCAACCUGGGAACUGCAUCCAAAACUGGCGGGCUAGAGUACGGUAGAGGGUGGUGGAAUUUCCUGUGUAGCGGUGAAAUGCGUAGAUAUAGGAAGGAACACCAGUGGCGAAGGCGACCACCUGGACUGAUACUGACACUGAGGUGCGAAAGCGUGGGGAGCAAACAGGAUUAGAUACCCGUGUAGUCC